GUGCACCACGGGCGCACCGCACAGCAGGGCAUGGAGGAGAGCGGCGAGUCCCAACCGACCGCGGGCUGCAGCGAUGUGCGCCCGAGCGGCGAUCGCGGCGGCGGCGCCCUCUCAUGGGCCCCCGAGGACGCCUGGAUGGGCACGCACCCUAAGUAUUUAGAAAUGAUGGAAUUAGAUAUAGGAGAUGCCACCCAAGUUUAUAUAGCAUUCUUGGUUUACCUGGACCUCAUGGAGAGUAAGAGUUGGCAUGAAGUAAACUGUGUGGGAUUACCAGAUCUCCAGCUCAUCUGCCUUCUUGGUACUGAGAUAGAAGGAGAAGGGUUACAGACUGUGGUACCUACACCCGUCAGUGCUUCCCUCAGCCAUAACAGGAUAAGGGAGAUCUUGAAGGCAUCUCGAAAAUUGCAAGGUGAUCCAGAUUUGCCAAUGUCUUUUACUUUGGCCAUAGUGGAGUCUGACUCCACAAUAGUCUAUUACAAACUUACUGAUGGAUUUAUGCUGCCAGAUCCUCAGAAUGUUCCCUGUGUACUUGACCGAAGUUGUUCUGUCCAAAGCCAGCCAGAUACCUGCUAGUGUGAGUAAUGGUCCAGGACAGUUUGGAAAUGGAGAUGACCCGCCUCUGUCAGUCUCAUUUUAGUGAAAAAUAGACCAGCGAUAUCUUGUGGAUUGACACCUGUAUACAGACCACACUUUGAGUAGCCUGUGUUAGAGCUCAGAUGAGAAGUGAUGAGAGCCUGAAACCCAACAGUAGCCCAGAUUGUGACCUCCUAAAGGGCAGAGACUGAACGUACCUUGCUUUUCUUUUCAUCCUCCACAACCUAAGCCUUCUAUGCAAUAGACACCCAAAGGGAAAUCGAAGCCCAGAGAGGUAACUAGACUUGCCUGUGGCCACACAGCUAAUUAAUAACAUAGUUGGGAACAGACUUAAUCUCCUAACUUCCAACUUCGCACCCUACUGGCCCCCGGACACUUUUCAUUCAAACGUGUAAAUGCACAGAAGAGAGAAGUUAAUGAUCACUAACCUUUUACCAUCUUGGGAGGAGCGACUUCUGGUGCUAAGUAUCAGGAAACUUCUGAGGGAAUGAUUCCAGGUGCCCUUAGCUCAGAUUCUGAUUUUGGGGAAUACAAACUGAGAUAGAGGCAUAUUUUGUUACCUGAAAUGGCUUGGGCUGAAGCUUGCUCUUGAGGAGAAUAAGCACCUGGAGCUACAGUGUCUGAACUAGCAGCUGCUGCUGCCACCUAGACAUUGUCACUGAGCUGUGUGAAGCUAUAUGGCAAGGCUGAGUCUGACUCAAAGAUACCUGCAGGCAUUAAUCUUCACAGUUCUCAUGGUGGAAGACUACAAGGGCAAGCCAGACCCGAGCUGACCUGAAAAGAUUUUGAUAGGCGGAAAGAUGGGAGGACUUUCAUCCACUUCUCCACCACUGGAAUGCCCUCAGAACUUCUCUCUUUUGCUCUCCAAAUCCUAAGGAGGUGGCUGAAGUCCAGGGAGUGAAUGAAGGUCAGCGAGAGAGAAUAUACACACCACAAAGAGAAGAGGAGUAAUUCCAGAUUCUUAGAGAUCACCAACAUUUAACAGUCGAUCCCUUUCAUGUUUUUUCUCUUCUGUUUUCAAGCUGGUUUGCAUCAGAAUGGUAAUUCUCUCAUUUCAAGAUUUUAAUGCCAACUGCAGAGAAUUCUGUGUUUCUGUUUAUAAUUGUUUAAAGUUCUGAUUUUGAGCACAGCAUCUUCAACAACUAUUUUCAACCACUUUGGAGAUCUGUUUGGAACAUAGUUUUUCUCUGUUAAACCUAUUGUGUGUGGAAUGUCACAGCCCCCUGAUAACUGGCACUUGGGAUCUCCUACACUGGUCUGCCCUGUAGUAGUGGAGGGGGCAGGAGGGUUUUCAUGGCUCCCAAACCUAAAGGUAAGAAAAAAGUCUAGAUUUUGUGCUGCUAAAAAGACCUCCAUCUUUUUUCAAAAGUCCUCAACUCUUGUACUUUUUGUGUUACAGGAUGAAGGUUCCAGGUCUGUAACAGAACAUUUAUUAAAGUUUUGAUAUCACGAAACCCCACUGAUAAUAUUUUUAUGCAUAGGCAUAUAAGAUGUUUCUGUAAAAACUGUUUUCUUAGGACAACAACAAAAUCCCCGAAGUUAUAUAAGGUAAAAACAAAGUGAUUUGAUCUUGAAAGGUAAGGAAAUAAAAUUGCUUCGAUAAUUAUCACUAUCAUGAUAAAAUGGUUAUCAUAAGACUUGAAAGUAUUUUUCCAUUUAUCACAGCACAUCUACAAGUUAUUCACGGAACACCCGUGUUCCCUGGCACGCAGUAUGAGAAACACUAUCCUAGUGGUUUGAUUGUGAUGGUGCACAAUACUAUGCUCACCGAACGGGACCCCAUUAUCUUUACGUUUAAAAGGCAAUUUCAGAAAAGAA